rnacentral:rRNA from 1 species
GACGAACCGUGCGAACGUUGUUCGGAAUCACUGGGCUUAAAGGGCGCGUAGGCGGCCCGCCGCGUCCGGGGUGAAAUCCUCCCGCUCAACGGGAGAACGGCCUCGGAUACGGGCGGGCUGGAGGCGGGUAGGGGCGGGCGGAACUGUGGGUGGAGCGGUGAAAUGCGUUGAUAUCCACAGGAACUCCGGUGGCGAAGGCGGCCCGCUGGGCUAACACUGACGCUCAGGCACGAAAGCGUGGGGAGCAAACAGG